rnacentral:rRNA from 1 species
UUCGGUGGCAAUAGCAAAGAGGUCACACCCGUAACCAUACCGAACACGGAAGUUAAGCUCUUUAGCGCCGAUGAUACUGUCUGGGUAGCUGGGCGGGAAAGUAGGUCGCUGCCGAAU